UUGCGUUAGGGAUUGAAGUGGAAAUCCUUUUUAUUUUUCAUAAAAAGAUUGUAGCGUAAAGCCCGACCUUUU
rnacentral:ncRNA from 2 species